UGGGGAAUAUUGGACAAUGGGCGCAAGCCUGAUCCAGCCAUGCCGCGUGUGUGAAGAAGGCCUUAUGGUUGUAAAGCACUUUAAGCGAGGAGGAGGCUACUUUAGUUAAUACCUAGAGAUAGUGGACGUUACUCGCAGAAUAAGCACCGGCUAACUCUGUGCCAGCAGCCGCGGUAAUACAGAGGGUGCAAGCGUUAAUCGGAUUUACUGGGCGUAAAGCGCGCGUAGGCGGCUAAUUAAGUCAAAUGUGAAAUCCCCGAGCUUAACUUGGGAAUUGCAUUCGAUACUGGUUAGCUAUAGUGUGGGAGAGGAUGGUAGAAUUCCAGGUGUAGCGGUGAAAUGCGUAGAGAUCUGGAGGAAUACCGAUGGCGAAGGCAGCCAUCUGGCCUAACACUGACGCUGAGGUGCGAAAGCAUGGGGAGCAAACAGGAUUAGAUACCCUGGUAGUCCAUGCCGUAAACGAUGUCUACUAGCCGUUGGGGCCUUUGAGGCUUUAGUGGCGCAGCUAACGCGAUAAGUAGACCGCCUGGGGAGUACGGUCGCAAGACUAAAACUCAAAUGAAUUGACGGGGGCCCGCACAAGCGGUGGAGCAUGUGGUUUAAUUCGAUGC
rnacentral:rRNA from 1 species